rnacentral:rRNA from 1 species
UCCGGAUCCGUCGACAGAGUUUGAUCUGGCUCAGAUUGAACGCUGGCGGCAUGCCUUACACAUGCAAGUCGAACGGCAGCGCGGGCUUCGGCCUGGCGGCGAGUGGCGAACGGGUGAGUAAUACAUCGGAACGUGCCCUGUCGUGGGGGAUAACUAGUCGAAAGAUUAGCUAAUACCGCAUACGACCUGAGGGUGAAAGCGGGGGACCGCAAGGCCUCGCGCGAUAGGAGCGGCCGAUGUCUGAUUAGCUAGUUGGUGGGGUAAGAGCCUACCAAGGCGACGAUCAGUAGCUGGUCUGAGAGGACGAUCAGCCACACUGGGACUGAGACACGGCCCAGACUCCUACGGGAGGCAGCAGUGGGGAAUUUUGGACAAUGGGGGCAACCCUGAUCCAGCAAUGCCGCGUGUGUGAAGAAGGCCUUCGGGUUGUAAAGCACUUUUGUCCGGAAAGAAAUGGCGCUGGUUAAUACCUGGCGUAGAUGACGUACCGAA